UAGCGGCGGACGGGUGAGUAACACGUGGGUAACCUACCUAUAAGACUGGGACAACUUCGGGAAACCGGAGCUAAUACCGGAUAAUAUGUUGAACCGCAUGGUUCAAUAGUGAAAGAUGGUUUUGCUAUCACUUAUAGAUGGACCCGCGCCGUAUUAGCUAGUUGGUGAGGUAACGGCUCACCAAGGCAACGAUACGUAGCCGACCUGAGAGGGUGAUCGGCCACACUGGAACUGAGACACGGUCCAGACUCCUACGGGAGGCAGCAGUAGGGAAUCUUCCGCAAUGGGCGAAAGCCUGACGGAGCAACGCCGCGUGAGUGAUGAAGGUCUUAGGAUCGUAAAACUCUGUUAUUAGGGAAGAACAAACGUGUAAGUAACUGUGCACGUCUUGACGGUACCUAAUCAGAAAGCCACGGCUAACUACGUGCCAGCAGCCGCGGUAAUACGUAGGUGGCAAGCGUUAUCCGGAAUUAUUGGGCGUAAAGCGCGCGUAGGCGGUUUUUUAAGUCUGAUGUGAAAGCCCACGGCUCAACCGUGGAGGGUCAUUGGAAACUGGAAAACUUGAGUGCAGAAGAGGAAAGUGGAAUUCCAUGUGUAGCGGUGAAAUGCGCAGAGAUAUGGAGGAACACCAGUGGCGAAGGCGACUUUCUGGUCUGUAACUGACGCUGAUGUGCGAAAGCGUGGGGAUCAAACAGGAUUAGAUACCCUGGUAGUCCACGCCGUAAACGAUGAGUGCUAAGUGUUAGGGGGUUUCCGCCCCUUAGUGCUGCAGCUACGCAU
rnacentral:rRNA from 1 species